GACGAACGCUGGCGGCGUGCUUAACACAUGCAAGUCGAACGGAAAGGCCCUGCUUUUGUGGGGUGCUCGAGUGGCGAACGGGUGAGUAACACGUGAGUAACCUGCCCUUGACUUUGGGAUAACUUCAGGAAACUGGGGCUAAUACCGGAUAGGAGCUCCUGCUGCAUGGUGGGGGUUGGAAAGUUUCGGCGGUUGGGGAUGGACUCGCGGCUUAUCAGCUUGUUGGUGGGGUAGUGGCUUACCAAGGCUUUGACGGGUAGCCGGCCUGAGAGGGUGACCGGCCACAUUGGGACUGAGAUACGGCCCAGACUCCUACGGGAGGCAGCAGUGGGGAAUAUUACACAAUGGGCGGAAGCCUGAUGCAGCAACGCCGCGUGCGGGAUGACGGCCUUCGGGUUGUAAACCGCUUUCGCCUGUGACGAAGCGUGUGUGACGGUAAUGGGUAAAGAAGCACCGGCUAACUACGUG
rnacentral:rRNA from 1 species